rnacentral:rRNA from 1 species
UACGUAGGGGGCUAGCGUUGUCCGGAAUCAUUGGGCGUAAAGCGCGUGUAGGCGGCUCGGUAAGUCCGCUGUGAAAGUCCAGGGCUCAACCCUGGGAUGCCGGUCGAUACUGCCGGACUAGAGUUCGGAAGAGGCGAGUGGAAUUCCCGGUGUAGUGGUGAAAUGCGUAGAUAUCGGGAGGAACACCAGUGGCGAAGGCGACUACCUGGCCUGUUCUUGACGCUGAGGCGCGAAAGCUAGGGGAGCAAACGGG